UACGUAGGGUGCAAGCGUUGUCCGGAAUUAUUGGGCGUAAAGAGCUCGUAGGCGGUUCGUCGCGUCGGCUGUGAAAACCCGGAGCUCAACUCCGGGCCUGCAGUCGAUACGGGCGGACUUGAGUGUUGCAGGGGAGACUGGAAUUCCUGGUGUAGCGGUGAAAUGCGCAGAUAUCAGGAGGAACACCGGUGGCGAAGGCGGGUCGCUGGGCAACUACUGACGCUGAGGAGCGAAAGCGUGGGGAGCGAACAGG
rnacentral:rRNA from 1 species